rnacentral:rRNA from 1 species
GACGAACGCUGGCGGCGUGCCUAAUACAUGCAAGUCGAACGCUUCUUUCCUCCCGAGUGCUUGCACUCAAUUGGAAAGAGGAGUGGCGGACGGGUGAGUAACACGUGGGUAACCUACCCAUCAGAGGGGGAUAACACUUGGAAACAGGUGCUAAUACCGCAUAACAGUUUAUGCCGCAUGGCAUAAGAGUGAAAGGCGCUUUCGGGUGUCGCUGAUGGAUGGACCCGCGGUGCAUUAGCUAGUUGGUGAGGUAACGGCUCACCGAGGCCACGAUGCAUAGCCGACCUGAGAGGGUGAUCGGCCACACUGGGACUGAGACACGGCCCAGACUCCUACGGGAGGCAGCAGUAGGGAAUCUUCGGCAAUGGACGAAAGUCUGACCGAGCAACGCCGCGUGAGUGAAGAAGGUUUUCGGAUCGUAAAACUCUGUUGUUAGAGAAGAACAAGGACGUUAGUAACUGAACGUCCCCUGACGGUAUCUAACCAGAAAGCCACGGCUAACUACGUG